UACGUAGGGUGCAAGCGUUGUCCGGAAUUAUUGGGCGUAAAGAGCUCGUAGGCGGUUUGUCGCGUCGGCUGUGAAAGCCCGGAGCUCAACUCCGGGUCUGCAGUCGAUACGGGCAGACUUGAGUGUUGCAGGGGAGACUGGAAUUCCUGGUGUAGCGGUGAAAUGCGCAGAUAUCAGGAGGAACACCGGUGGCGAAAGGCGGGGUCUCUGGGCAACAACUGACGCUGAGGAGCGAAAGCGUGGGGAGCGAACAGG
rnacentral:rRNA from 1 species